UACGGAGGGUGCGCGCGUUGUCCGGAAUCACUGGGCGUAAAGGGCGCGUAGGCGGCCUGAUAAGUAGGGGGUGAAAUCCUGCGGCUUAACCGCAGGGCUGCCUUCUAAACUGUCAGGCUUGAGCACAGUAGAGGCAGGUGGAAUUCCCGGUGUAGCGGUGGAAUGCGUAGAGAUCGGGAAGAACAUCAGUGGCGAAGGCGGCCUGCUGGGCUGUUGCUGACGCUGAGGCGCGACAGCGUGGGGAGCAAACAGG
rnacentral:rRNA from 1 species